GACGAACGCUGGCGGCGUGCCUAAUACAUGCAAGUUGAGCGCUGAAGGUUGGUACUUGUACCAACUGGAUGAGCAGCGAACGGGUGAGUAACGCGUGGGGAAUCUGCCUUUGAGCGGGGGACAACAUUUGGAAACGAAUGCUAAUACCGCAUAAAAACUUUAAACACAAGUUUUAAGUUUGAAAGAUGCAAUUGCAUCACUCAAAGAUGAUCCCGCGUUGUAUUAGCUAGUUGGUGAGGUAAAGGCUCACCAAGGCGAUGAUACAUAGCCGACCUGAGAGGGGGAUCGGCCAAAUUGGGACUGAGACACGGCCCAAAUUCCUACGGGAGGCAGCAGUAGGGAAUCGUAGGCAAUGGACGAAAGUCUGACCGAGCAACGCCGCGUGAGUGAAGAAGGGUUUCGGAUCGUAAAACUCUGUUGGUAGAGAAGAACGUUGGUGAGAGUGGAAAGCUCAUCAAGUGAAGGUAACUACACAGAAAGGGACGGCUAACUACGUG
rnacentral:rRNA from 1 species